rnacentral:rRNA from 1 species
GAUGAACGCUAGCUACAGGCUUAACACAUGCAAGUCGAGGGGAAACGGGAGAAUAGCUUGCUAUUCUUUGUCGUCGACCGGCGCACGGGUGAGUAACGCGUAUCCAACCUUCCCAUAACUAAGGAAUACCCCGUAGAAAUGCGGCCUAAUCCCUUAUGGUCUCUUAUGCCUGUCAUGGGAAUAAGAGUAAAGAUUUAUCGGUUAUGGAUGGGGAUGCGUCUGAUUAGCUUGCUGGCGGGGUAACGGCCCACCAGGGCAUCGAUCAGUAGGGGUUCUGAGAGGAAGGUCCCCCACAUUGGAACUGAGACACGGUCCAAACUCCUACGGGAGGCAGCAGUGAGGAAUAUUGGUCAAUGGGCGAGAGCCUGAACCAGCCAAGUAGCGUGCAGGAUGACGGCCCUAUGGGUUGUAAACUGCUUUUUAAGGUGAAUAAAGAAGGGCACGUGUGCCCUGUUGCAUGUAGCCUUGGAAUAAGGACCGGCUAAUUCCGUGCCCCGCGGUAA